rnacentral:rRNA from 1 species
GGAGCCUGAGAAACGGCUACCACAUCCAAGGAAGGCAGCAGGCGCGCAAAUUACCCAAUUCUGAUUCAGAGAGGUAGUGACAAUAAAUACUGAUACGGGGCUCUUUCGGGUCUCGUAAUUGGAAUGAGUACAAUCUAAAUCCCUUAACGAGGAACAAUUGGAGGGCAAGUCUGGUGCCAGCAGCCGCGGUAAUUCCAGCUCCAAUAGCGUAUAUUAAAGUUGUUGCCGUUAAAAAGCUCGUAGUUGAACCUUGGACCUGGCUGAUCUGUCCUCCUAAUCGAGCGUACGGAUUCGGUCGGGUCUUUUCUUCUGGGGAGCCUUAUGCCCUUUACUGGGUGUAAUGGGGAACCAGGACUUUUACCUUGAAAAAAUUAGAGUGUUCAAAGCAGGCCUUUGCUCGAAUACAUUAGCAUGGAAUAAUAGAAUAGGACAUCGGUUCUAUUUUGUUGGUUUCUAGGACCGCUGUAAUGAUUAAUAGGGAUAGUCGGGGGCGUCCGUAUUCAAUUGUCAGAGGUGAAAUUCUUGGAUUUAUUGAAGACGAACUACUGCGAAAGCAUUCGCCAAGGAUGUUUUCAUUAAUCAGUGAACGAAAGUUAGGGGAUCGAAGACGAUCAGAUACCGUCGUAGUCUUAACCAUAAACUAUGCCGACUAGGGAUCGGACGGUGGUUUUUUUAUGCCCCGUUCGGCACCUUACGAGAAAUCAAAGUGUUUGGGCUCGGGGGGGAGUAUGGUCGCAAGGCUGAAACUUAAAGAAAUUGACGGAAGGGCACCACAAGGCGUAAACAGCCGUAGUUAACUCUGCGCCGAACAGGCACCUAGACAUAAAUAGGUCGUGGAUAGUCCUCCACCUCUGGUGGGAAAAAGCCUAGUUAUACCUUACUACUUCCCUGGGAGUGAACAGGGCAUGUUGUGCUAAGGUUGGCGAGACCGUCAAAUUGCGGGGAACCUUCUUAACCACCGACUACCGCUGGCCAGACCGAAAGGUUGGUUAAGCACCCGGGUAACACCCAGGGGUAUGGUCAUAAUGUUCGUGGUGAAGCUAUCCGCAGCUAAGCUCCUACGGGGCAGUAAAUCUUUUACUGCCUACGGAGAAAGUUCAGAGACUAGACGGCGGUCGGUCCCAGGGGAAACGCUUUCCCAACGGGGCUUAAGGUAUAGUCCGCUUACUACAUUGCACAAGCAACCGUUAAUAAAUGGGAGCCUGCGGCUUAAUUUGACUCAACACGGGGAAACUCACCAGGUCCAGACAUGCUUAGGAUUGACAGAUUGAUAGCUCUUUCUUGAUUGUAUGGGUGGUGGUGCAUGGCCGUUCUUAGUUGGUGGAGUGAUUUGUCUGCUUAAUUGCGAUAACGAACGAGACCUUGACCUGCUAAAUAGCCCGAUUGACUUUUGUCGGUCGCUGGCUUCUUAGAGGGACUUUUGGCUCAAGCCAAUGGAAGUACGAGGCAAUAACAGGUCUGUGAUGCCCUUAGAUGUUCUGGGCUGCACGCGCGCUACACUGACAGAGCCAGCGAGUACAUCACCUUGGCCGAAAGGUCUGGGUAAUCUUGUUAAACUCUGUCGUGCUGGGGAUAGAGCAUUGCAAUUAUUGCUCUUCAACGAGGAAUGCCUAGUAAGCGCAAGUCAUCAGCUUGCGUUGAUUACGUCCCUGCCCUUUGUACACACCGCCCGUCGCUACUACCGAUUGAAUGGCUCAGUGAGGCCUUGGGACUGGCUCAGAAAGGUCGGCAACGACCA